rnacentral:rRNA from 1 species
CAAUAAGCGGAGGAGAAGAAACUAACCAGGAUUCCCUUAGUAACGGCGAGUGAAGAGGGAGGAGCCCAGCACCGAAGCCUGCGGCAGGUUUGCUGUUAGGCCAUGUGGUGUGCGGGCCGAUUGGCGGGGCCGCCGCUCCACUCGAAGUCCAGCAUUGAGUAUGGUUAUCAGCGGAUUUGGCCCAGAGAGGGUGAGAGGCCCGUGCGAGUGGGGGUUCAGACAUGUGAGGCGGUUCACCAGGUCGGCCUCAGAGUCGGGUUGUUUGAGAUUGCAGCCCAAAGUGGGUGGUAAACUCCAUCCAAGGCUAAAUACAGGCUCGAGUCCGAUAGCGAACAAGUACCGUGAGGGAAAGUUGAAAAGUACUCUGAAGAGAGAGUAAACAGUACGUGAAACCGCAUGCAGGUAAACGGGUGGCGUCAAGCUGCGAGCCCGGGGAAUUCAGCUGGCUGGAUUGUAGUGUGCGCGCCUGGUGCGUCAAGUGGCCGGAGUAAGAUGUGGCGGUCCGUCCCUUGUGCGUGGAUGGGGCGCGGUUGCGAUGGCGGGUUGGUGGUCUCUCGCCGAUCUGUUGUCGCCGCCGUCGCUAUGCGUGCCGUUUGGGUGGCGGAGCAUGCCGUCGGUCUGUGGGGCCGUCUGGUCAGUGCAUUUUCUCCGUGGUGAAUGCCACGACCGGUGGGAUUGCCAGUCUGCCGUGGUCAAGUCGUGCCGCCGCCGUCAUUGCUAUGACGAGGUGGGCGCGAUCGCAGGCGGAGGGAGCGCACGGCGUAGUGGCGCCUCGGUGUCGCUACGUGCUAUCGUGCGUUCACCGCCAGCGAGUCGUUGUGCUCUGUCGUGCUGUGGCCGCGAUACUGUUGCCAGCGUCUCGGCGGGCCACGGUGGUGUAGGUGACUGUGCAAGGCACCGAGUUUGUCCACCUCAUCUGGCUGGUGUCGCUAGCCAGCUCCUCGUGGGCUGGUUGGUUGGCUGGCUAGCCAGUUAGGGUACCCGGCGAGCACGUCACAGGUGAGAGGCGAGGCACGCCGCUGCGUGUGUGCGUUGGGUGUGAUUGUCGUGUUGCUCGCAGAAAGCGGGUCCGACGGUGGCCCGGCCCACGUAUGUCGGCGGUUGGCGGGUGCCUCGUGCGCAUGAGGUACCGGGGGUGCGAUAGUCAGUGGUACUGUGGUAGACGAGCUACCCGACCCGUCUUGAAACACGGACCAAGGAGUUUAACAUGCGUGCGAGUCAAAGGGUCCUACGAAACCUUGAGGCGCAGUGAAAGUGAGGUCCGCCGCUUCUCUGUGGGCGGCGGCGAGGUGAGAUCCCGCUGUGUAUCUGUAGGUUGCUCGCUGUACUGUUUCAGGCCAGCUGGCUAGUUGGGGCGGUGGACGUAUGGGCGGAUGGAGGGAUGGGCGGAUGGAGGAAUGGACGUACGGACGGGUGGGUGAGCGGGUGUCCSAUUGUCUGCCUGUCUGUCUCCGAUUGUCUGUCUGUCUGUCUGUCUGUCUGUCUGUCUGUCUGUCUGUCUGUCUGUCUCCUCCGUUGUCCCUCUGGCUGGACCAGGUGAAGAGCGGUGGGCGCAUCACCGGCCCGUCCCAUGAUGUGGUUGUUGGUAAGCGACGUUGUCGCGCGCGUGUGUGUGCGCGCAUCAUCGCCUUGCAUGCAUUCGUGUGUGCAUGGGGUGGUGGGCUGGCACCGCGUCGGCCGUGACUGCGUCAGCCAAUGCGUCAUCGGGGCGGAGCAUGAGCACGCAUGUUGAGACCCGAAAGAUGGUGAACUAUGCUUGCGUAGGUUGAAGCCAGAGGAAACUCUGGUGGAGGACCGUAGCGAUUCUGACGUGCAAAUCGAUCGUCAAACGCGAGUAUAGGGGCGAAAGACUAAUCGAACCAUCUAGUAGCUGGUUCCCUC